rnacentral:lncRNA from 1 species
AACUUAGGAAGGAAAAAGUGAAAAAAUUAUCCUUUUACUACAAUUCUAAUUAUGGAAAAAUCAAAGCAUGAUGGAACAGUCCUUCUGUGGUUUAAAAAAUUUUUUAAAAACAGUAUUUUAAUUUUAUUUUACUAUUAUUAUUUUUUGAGACAAGGUCUCACUAUGUAAUUCUGGCUGGCCUUGAACUUGUGGUAAUCCUCUUGCCUCAACCUCCUGAGUGCUAAGAUUACAGCAAUGACCCACCACGUCCAGCAAUAAUUUUAAAAGAAUUUCACAUAAAGACAAACAUAGCCAAGUAUAUGCUCUGAUAGCACAAUCCAUGAUACAGCAAAAGGAUUAAAACCCUGAUGCUGUAGUAUCAGAGCUCAUUAGUUUAAUGGUGCUAUGGUCAAAAACCCCGAGGCAUUAUUCAUUGUUUCUCUAGUUUUUAGGCACAAAAUCAGGAAUUUCACUUCACUGCAACAUUUUAAAGAAAGGCCUUACAGCAACAUGACCAACUCUUCUCAUCUCAGGGGACAACAUCCCUGUUUCACAUCCUCUGGACAGAACUGUUUCUGGAAAGAGUGUGUGAACAAGCAAAGGUCUCAUGCCUCUUUCAGAGAUCCCAGUUCAGCGUACAGAGAAACGAAUCCUGAAAAUUGCCGCUGUUGUGCUGUAAGAAUGGAGGCCCCACUGGUGAGUUUGGACGAAGAGGUUUUUUUUUUUGCUACUGGGGAAUCAAACUUGGGUCCUUGCACCUGCACAGCAGGUGAUGAGUUCAGCGUACAGAGAAACGAAUCCUGAAAAUUGCCGCUGUUGUGCUGUAAGAAUGGAGGCCCCACUGGUGAGUUUGGACGAAGAGGUUUUUUUUUUUGCUACUGGGGAAUCAAACUUGGGUCCUUGCACCUGCACAGCAGGUGAUGAAACCACUGAGCUAAAUCCCCAGCCCUGGACGAAGAGUUUGAGGACCUUUGACUCUGCUACUCGGAGGAGCAGGAGAAGCAGCCCCACUGUUUCUAUGGCUCGUCUCCCCACCAUCUGGAGGACCCCUUCCUCUCUGAGCUGAAGAAUUUUUCUUUUGAAAUAAUCACCUUCAAGUCCAUGGAGGACCUUGUGAAUGAAUUUGACGAGAAGCUCAAUGUGUGCUUUUGGAGCUACAAUGCCAAGACCAAGAACCUCGCUCCGGUGAAGAACCAGUUACAGAUCCAAGAGGAGAAGAUGACCUUUCAGGAUGAGGAGGUUUGGGAUGUACUGACAGUUACAUUCCUUCACUCUGGGAAGACUGGCGGGACCCAAGCAUCAAGGCUCUGAAGGGCAACAGUUCUGACACCAAGAUCCAUGAGAAGGAAGAGGAAGAGUUCAAUAAGAGUGAAAAUGACUCUGGAAUCAAUGAGGAGCCUCUACUCGCAGCAGAUCGGGUAACUGAGGAAACUGAGGAAAUGAUGCAGAACUCCCCAGUCCCUGAGGAGGAAGAGGAGGCAGGCAGACUCGGUCCUGCUGCAGGAGGUGCAAGCCUUGACACAGACCUUCAACAGCUGGUCCUACAAAGGUGAGGCCCUGGGUGGGCUGGCUGAGGAUAAUGUGCCAGCACGGUAACACAUGUGACAGAACCCAGUCGCUGCCCCAGUGCAGAAGCUUACACAUCCAGAGGGUGGGUGGCACCCUCCUUCCUCCUCCACAACAGGAGGGAAGUGAGUGUUUUUAUAAAUGAAAAG